ensembl:lncRNA
GUCACAGAGAACUUCGACUAUGACUUUGUUGAGCAGCUCCAAAUAAAACUCCAGCCACUUCCCCUACACUACUACAAAUGAAAAAGUGUCGACUGGAACAGGAUUUUCUCCUUACACAUAUCAGAGACACCCCCUAAACGCUCACCGAUACUCUAAAGGUCCAGAUGUGAGCUGAAACUGAGUGGUGAUGUCAUCACAGCCCCAUGUCCACUCCUCUGCGGAAUCCAGAAAGCAGACAGAGGAGAGAAGUGGGGGAUGAGAGAGAAAGAGAAGGGAAAGGUAUGCAAUAGACACCAAAAUGAAGAAAUAGGAACAUUUGCUUUGGACAGUGAAAGCAAGGGGGUGGUGGUGUUCUUUAAUUCA